rnacentral:rRNA from 1 species
GACGAACGCUGGCGGCGUGCCUAAUACAUGCAAGUAGAACGCUGAAGGAGGAGCUUGCUUCUCUGGAUGAGUUGCGAACGGGUGAGUAACGCGUAGGUAACCUGCCUGGUAGCGGGGGAUAACUAUUGGAAACGAUAGCUAAUACCGCAUAAGAGUAGAUGUUGCAUGACAUUUGCUUAAAAGGUGCAAUUGCAUCACUACCAGAUGGACCUGCGUUGUAUUAGCUAGUUGGUGGGGUAACGGCUCACCAAGGCGACGAUACAUAGCCGACCUGAGAGGGUGAUCGGCCACACUGGGACUGAGACACGGCCCAGACUCCUACGGGAGGCAGCAGGAGGGAAUCUUCGGCAAGGGACGGAAGUCUGACCGAGCAACGCCGCGGGAGUGAAGAAGGGUGUCGGAUCGGAAAGCUCUGUUGUAAGAGAAGAACGAGUGUGAGAGUGGAAAGUUCACACUGUGACGGUAUCUUACCAGAAAGGGACGGCUAACUACGUG